GCCUCAGUAGUCUAAAGGCUUAGGACGCUCGCACAAAAUGCUAGAGAUCCGGGUUCGACUCCCGGCCGAGAUA
rfam:Cyphomyrmex costatus contig11435, whole genome shotgun sequence.